GAACCACUUGAUGUAACCGUCGACAUGGCUCCAGUCACUCUCAAAUAUGGUAUGAGUGUAAUUGAACUUCCGCAUCACGCGCUCAGCAGAUGAGAAACAGUGAGACGUAAUCCGCAAGCCAACUAUCCUGAGUACAACACUAUAUCGUCAAAUGGUCGCGUCUCACGGUGAUCGACAUAGUUGUUGAAGUGCAUGUCAUCGGCAAUCAAGCGGUCAACAUACACUUUGAACGACUC
rnacentral:lncRNA from 1 species